rnacentral:rRNA from 1 species
UACCAGCACCCCGAGUGGUCGGGACGAUUAUUGGGCCUAAAGCAUCCGUAGCCGGUUCUACAAGUCUUCCGUUAAAUCCACCUGCUUAACAGAUGGGCUGCGGAGGAUACUAUAGAGCUAGGAGGCGGGAGAGGCAAGCGGUACUUAGUGGGUAGGGGUAAAAUCCAUUGAUCUACUGAAGACCACCAGUGGCGAAGGCGGUUUGCCAGAACGCGCUCGACGGUGAGGGAUGAAAGCUGGGGGAGCAAACCGG